rnacentral:rRNA from 1 species
AGAAUCAACGCUGGCGGCGUGCCUAACACAUGCAAGUCGAACGAGAAAGGGUAGCAAUACCCGAGUAAAGUGGCGCACGGGUGAGUAACACGUGACUAACCUACCCUGGAGUGUGGGAUAACUGAGGGAAACCUUAGCUAAUACCGCAUAAUACCUACGGGUCAAAGGAGCAAUUCGCUUUGGGAGGGGGUCGCGGCCGAUUAGUUAGUUGGCGGGGUAAUGGCCCACCAAGACAGUGAUCGGUAUCCGGCCUGAGAGGGCGCACGGACACACUGGAACUGAAACACGGUCCAGACUCCUACGGGAGGCAGCAGUGGGGAAUUUUGCGCAAUGGGGAAACCCUGACGCAGCAACGCCGCGUGGAGGAUGAAGUACUUCGGUACGUAAACUCCUUUCGAUCGGGACGAUAAUGACGGUACCGGAAGAAGAAGCCCGGCUAACUUCGUGCCAGCAGCCGC